rnacentral:rRNA from 1 species
AACGCGAAGAACCUUACCUGGGCUUGAACUGCACCGGACAAAGGUAGAAAUACCUCUCCCGCAAGGGCUGGUGUAGAGGUGCUGCAUGGCUGUCGUCAGCUCGUGCCGUGAGGUGUUGGGUUAAGUCCCGCAACGAGCGCAACCCUUACCCUUAGUUGCCACCCGCAAGGGGGAACUCUAAGGGGACUGCUCCGGAUAACGGAGAGGAAGGUGGGGAUGAGGUCAAGUCAGCAUGGCCUUUAUGUCCAGGGCUACACACGUGUUACAAUGCAUGGUACAGACCGCUGCAAACCCGCGAGGGGGAGCUAACCGGAAAAAACCAUGCUCAGUUCGGAUUGCAGUCUGCAACUCGACUGCAUGAAGCCGGAAUCGCUAGUAAUGGCGUAUCAGAACGACGCCGUGAAUACGUUCCCGGGUCUUGUACACACCG